CAGUGACCAAAGGAAGAGACCAAGAUGAAUACAGAGCCCGAGAGGAAGUUUGGCGUGGUGGUGGUUGGUGUUGGCCGAGCCGGCUCCGUGCGGAUGAGGGACUUGCGGAAUCCACACCCUUCCUCAGCGUUCCUGAACCUGAUAGGCUUCGUGUCCAGAAGGGAGCUCGGGAGCAUUGAUGGAGUCCAGCAGAUUUCUUUGGAGAACGCUCUUUCCAGCCAAGAGGUGGAGGUCGCCUAUAUCUGCAGUGAGAGCUCCAGCCAUGAGGACUACAUCAGGUGGGUUUUCCACACAGGCAGUCCUUGCCUUACACAGCAGUGCAGUACUGGAAAAAUGAGCAAGCAAGCUGAAACACCCUGCAAAGGAGUCAGAAGAGCCAGUGAGAAAAUUACAAUUGCUCUGUGACCAAUCACAGAAAUGUCAAAACAUUAAGAAAUUCUUAUUGCUGGUUAUAAAUAUAUAAGGAAAUGAAAAAAUAGUAAAAUUAAUAUUUAGUAUGUGUAAUUUGAAACAUUAGAAACAUUCAGAAUUAAAGUGUUUUAUUUCUCUGUAAAAACCCAUCGAGAGUAGUUUUCAACAGUAGUGGCCUCCUUCUUCUCACCAGACAGUUUAGGAUGUGGAGCUGGCAUCCCUGGCGAAUUAUCAUACUCCUUUCUCAGUUUGGAUCAGCUUCCAACGUUUUCUCCUUUGUGCUUUCAAUGUCAUAAAAUAACGGUUGAGUUCCUUUAACCCUCAGGACCUGGCAGCUAACAGGGAAG
rnacentral:sRNA from 1 species